GACCGCGUAGCUCAGUUGGAAGAGCAUUGGGCUGGUAUUCCAAAGGUCGUAGGUUCGAAUCCCACCGUGACCG
rnacentral:tRNA from 1 species